rnacentral:rRNA from 1 species
UACGUAGGGGGCAAGCGUUGUCCGGAUUUAUUGGGCGUAAAGAGCGUGUAGGCGGCCAGGUAGGUCUGCUGUGAAAACUCGAGGCUUAACCUCGAGCUGUCGGCGGAAACCAUCUGGCUAGAGUCCGGAAGAGGAGAAUGGAAUUCUCGGUGUAGCGGUGAAAUGCGUAGAUAUCGAGAGGAACACCUGCGGCGAAGGCGGGUUGCUGGGCUGACACUGACGCUGAACUGCGAAAGCUAGGGGAGCGAACGGG